CAGCCGCCGCGGGAAUACGGAGGGAGCUAGCGUUGUUCGGGAUUACUGGGCGUAAAGCGCACGUAGGCGGCUUUGUAAGUUAGAGGUGAAAGCCCGGAGCUCAACUCCGGAAUUGCCUUUAAGACUGCCGAGCUAGUAGGUGAGAGAGGUAAGUGGAAUUCCGAGUGUAGAGGUGAAAUUCGUAGAUAUUCGGAAGAACACCAGUGGCGAAGGCGGCUUACUGGCUCAUUCUAGACGCUGAGGUGCGAAAGCGUGGGGAGCAAACAGGAUUAGAUACCCGUGUAGUCCCUGUCUCUUAUAC
rnacentral:rRNA from 1 species